ensembl:snoRNA small nucleolar RNA SNORA18
UUUGAGGUCUAUCCCAAUACACCUUCCCUAGUAGCCACACAUCAUUGGAAAUGCCUCAUAUAAUAGCUUGUGGUUUUGCCCGACUCACAGGACUGCUUGUUAAGUCUAUGAAAAGGAGGAACUACUACAAGACAUCU